UCGGCGCGGUCGCUUCGGCUCGCUCGGCUGCUUCGGCUCGGGCUCGCAUCGGCCAGCCGAAGGCCUUUCGCCUGACAAGUGUGGCGAUCUGGGGCGGCUGGGCGACCGCCGUCGGUGUGCGAGGCGAUCAGCGAUCUUCAGCCUUGUCCCCAAACGCGCUCAUUGGGCGGCUCGCGACGCCGAUCCCGCAUGGUAACAGGCGGCCGUUUCGCACUACGUGGGAUCAGCACGCUUUUUUGCGCCGCCGAAGGUUCCAGACGCUGACGUCAUCGCGCUCGCCGACCGGAACCCUGCCUGCUCCCCAAAAUGUUGUGCAAUCUGGUGCAACCGCCGGUAAGUAGGGCACGUGCCGCCCUUUCAGCGCCCCCUAACCUGCAAACCGACCAACCGCAUGGCCGCCCUGAGGACGGCCGAGUCGUGGCAUCCGGCCCGAAAAUAGCUGCUGAUCAAUCGCACAAAGAGGCUUUGUGUCCGCGUGAGUCACGUCUGUUGACGACUUCCAGCGACGUCUGGCAACCAGGCCCUACCCCAAAUGCGUCAGCGUUGACCUUGCCGAUUUGGCACAUCAGGUGCUCUGGUAUCCUCAACUCCCGACACCUGUUGGAGUACACUAAUUAUGUGACAGCGAUCCCCCGGACAGCUGCGGAAAGCCGCCCCAGCUGGCAGCAGCGCAUUCGUUCCUGUCAACGCGCCCAACUUCACAUGGAUGGUUGUAGUGAGGGCGGAGCACUCGCUGGCAACGUCGCCGGCAGGCCUCGCUCCCAAACAAUUAAUGCACUGUGUUUUGCCCUAGUGGGGGAAAUAAAACUGUUUAUCCUC